rnacentral:rRNA from 1 species
GACGAACGCUGGCGGCGUGCCUAAUACAUGCAAGUAGAACGCUGAAGGCGGAGCUUGCUUCUCUGGAUGAGUUGCGAACGGGUGAGUAACGCGUAGGUAACCUGCCUGGUAGCGGGGGAUAACUAUUGGAAACGAUAGCUAAUACCGCAUAAUAGUAGAUGUUGCAUGACAUUUGCUUAAAAGGUGCAAUUGCAUCACUACCAGAUGGACCUGCGUUGUAUUAGCUAGUUGGUGGGGUAACGGCUCACCAAGGCGACGAUGCAUAGCCGACCUGAGACGGUGAGCAGCCACACUGAGAGUGUGACACGGCCCAGACUGCUACAGGAGGGAGCAGUAGUGAAUCUGGGGCAAGGGGCGGAAGUCUGACCGAGCAACGCGGCGUGAGUGAAGAAGGUCUUCGGAUCGUAAAGCUCGGUUGUAAGAGAAGAACGAGUGUGAGAGUGGAAAGAUCACUCUGUGACGGUAUCUUACCAGAAAGGGACGGCUAACUACGUG